rnacentral:rRNA from 1 species
UACGUAGGCAGCGAGCGUUGUUCGGAAUUACUGGGCGUAAAGAGUGUGUAGGCGGUGCUCUAAGUUCGGUGUGAAAUCUCCUGGCUCAACUGGGAGGGUGCGCCGGAAACUGGAGUGCUUGAGCGUGGGAGAGGAAAGCGGAAUUCCUGGUGUAGCGGUGAAAUGCGUAGAUAUCAGGAGGAACACCUGUGGUGUAGACGGCUUUCUGGACCAUAGCUGACGCUGAGACACGAAAACGUGGGUAGCAAACAGG